rnacentral:lncRNA from 10 species
AAAAAUUGCAAACUGCAACAGCAGCCCCUCAGGAGGUCUUUUUACCUGAUGCUACGCAACAGGGCAUGCUAAUUAUACUUAAAUAGCAGAAAAAUGGCUCCUAGGUGGCUGGAUGGGGUAGAUUACGGACAUAAGAGGCCACUAGCAUUCAUUCCCAAGCCCAGUCAGCCUAUCUGAGUAACGGUGGUGCUCCUGGGGCAGAGUGUAUUACCCCCCGCCUGCAAUGUGCCUAACUAGUGUCAAUAUUGACAGAGGAGCUCAUGGGAGAACAGAUGGAUGGAGUGAACCAAAAGACAGCCACUUCUCAGUCUUCAUUGUGCAGGAGGAGUGAUCCGGGCGAAGUCGUGCUCCACUGUCACCUUAGCAAACCUUAUCGCCUCCUCAUAAACAUCCAGGAAGGAGUAAUUCUCUCACAUGCUCCUGCCUUGAGUGCUGAGUGGAGUUACAGAAGGUGAAGGGCCACAGAGGAGAAUGGCUGCCAGGCAUCUUUCCAUACCAGCUCCUUCUUUCCAUUCCUUCUUGGGCAUGGAUUUAUAUAGCACAUUAACAAAGAGCCAGGGAGGAAAGGAAGAAUUUCUAAACCCUUUGCUAGAAAUCCUCAAGUGUUUAGCUACACUGGAGCUACCCCAGGUGCUGCUACCCCAGGUCCUCUCUGUGACCCUGCCCCGUCUCUGCUGGCUGAACACCAUAUCUGAAUGACUGUGCCCUGACUACUGAGCUCCAAGGGUCUGGAAUGCCACUUCACAUCACAGGAUAACAAGGCAGCAGCUGUCCACCCCUCUGAGCACGCCUGGACAUCUGGCUGGUGUCUUUCCAAAGGUCUCCAUCCUGAGCAGUCCUCAAGCAAACACUCGAACCUCCUGUGGUGAACUCAGGCCAAGACUAUGUGCUUGACUGUCGGUGGCAGCUGCUGAGCUCCAGAUGACACGGGUCAUGAAGAGUUGGGCUUUUAUCUCAGUUCUUCAAACAACCAGAUCAGACGUAACAGGUUUAUGGAAGACACUUCCUAGCCAUCUUGUGAGCUCCUUGAAGGAACUGUGUCUUUAUCUGUAUAGCCCCACCUAGCAGAUGCUCAAGGCAUGCUUGUGGAAUGAAUAAGGGAACAGAUCAUUUCUUCUGAGCUGUUUGCAGUCUGGCUAAGCCAAUUGAAAGAAUGCCUUCUCUUGCAAUCUACAAAUUGAAAAGCCUGUGAGACCCUCAGGACACUCAGUUCUGUCCUACUGGUGGCGGAGUGGGACUCCUUCAUGAUGUGGCACAGUUUCCUUGAGUUUUAGGAAGAAACGGCCCAUGUGGCAGAUUCAGAAACAAUGAAUCAGCACCUAAACAAACAGGAAGAUUUGGCACAAAAAAGUUUGCUUCGGGCAACCAUUGCCAGCUCUAUCCAGACCUCCAAGGAGUGAGUAUCUAUUCACUUGCCUCUGACACUGAGGAUUUCUAGAUGGAGAAGGCUGAGAAAUGCUACUCUGUUGAACAGAGCUACAAAGAACAAAUGUAAUUCCUUUCCCAUGGGGCUGCCCAUCAAGUUUUCCUAAGAUCUUACAGUUGGAAAGAGACUUAGAAGUUGUCUAAAUCGAUCUCCCUUCUGCAGCAAUCCUAACAGAUGGUCACCCAGCCUCCGCUGGAUCAGGCUCAGAGCGGAGAAGAGACCACAUGAUGAAAAAACUGAAGAUCAGAGAGGUUGUAUAACUUGCCUAAGGUCAUAAAACUACUUAAUGAUGAAAAUUUAAAACCAAGUCUGUCUGACUCUGUAGCCAUGGUUCUCACUGUCUGGUCCCUGGACCAGCUGUAUCAGCACCUCCUGGGAACUCAUCAGAGACCUAAUGAGUCAGAAAUUUGGGGGGUCAGGUGGAGCCAUCUGUGUCCUGGCAAGCCUCAAGGUGAUUCUACUGGACACUCCCAACCAAGAACCACUGUUCCAGCACGUUCCCUUCAUCUCCACGCCAUGCUGCGUCUCCAACUUCCUGCUCUCCAAAGGCAAAACUCACCAUGAGGGAAUCAUCCAGAAAUAAAGUUGAUUUUCACUUCUCCCUGCAGAUGCUCCCAGGGAGUUAAAGGUGACUCUUCACUCCAGACUCUAAAUUUGACCCCCUUUCAGGCGGCCACCCCAGGUUCAUUAUCACACCAAUCAGCCAACUGUUUUGAGUAGAAAUCUCCUUUCCCACCCUGUAAGGAAUUCCAGGACACCGUCUAUGAAGAGGGAAAUCAUAACUUGGCUAUUUGUUCAGGACACCCCUACCCUCUUCCAGACCAGCAGCUCAUUGAGACACCUGCCCUCGAGAUACCACUUGACUACUGCCGCCAGUCGACAAUUAUUGAUCAAGUACUGUGUCAGGUCCUCUGCUAGGCCGUUUGAGACAUGUUAUCUCAAUUAAUCCUUACAACAACCCAAGAGGUAGACAUGAUUAUUAGCCCAUUUCAAAAACAAGAAAACUGAGGCACAGAUUAUUUGCCUAACUUCACUAGCUAAUAAAUUACUGAGAUGAGACUUAAACUCAGUUUGUCUCAAGAACCCCAUGGUCUUAUCCAGUAUGCCCUAUUGCCUGUUACGGGCCUUUGUCAAACAAGUCUUCUCUCUUGGUGCACUCCAGGCCAACUUUCUGUGUUCCAGCUUGAGAGUCCUCUUUGCAGCCAUGUGAAUCCAGUGUCUUCCUCUCGUUAAUCCUCUAGGACACCUCUGCCCAGCUUUCUUCCAUCCCCCCGCACCUGGCCAUUUCCCUCUGGAGCUGUUUCCUACUAGCUGGGCUCUCACCUCCCAGACACUUUUCCUUCCUUUAGACCAGCUUCAUCUCCUCUAUGUGCUGCUCAGCAUGGAAUAAAUUCUAUCUUUUUCCAAUUCCCAAUUUCUAAGGCAGGUUUUUUUUUUUUUUUAAUCUUACCAUCUCUGCUUUGACCAGACACUUGGUACAACUUCAAACAUUGUCGCCUGUGGUUUGGCUGCCUAACAAGGAGCUCUUGGCCCGCUUCGAAGCCAGCCUUCUUGAAGCCUGCCCUCACAUUUAGCGCCCUUAAUAUAGACUCUGUCUACCACAGAUCAGCGUGUACUGAGAAGAUAGAUCGGAAUCAGGGAGGAGGCUAUUUCAUUGCCUGGUGGUGGAACCAAUACUCAGUCUGGUGAUAUAAACUGAAAAAUGCAAAAGUGGGGAAGGCAAGGUGAAGAGCGAAGGCAGCUUCUCAGACUUGGCUCGUGAGUUCAUAGUAAGGCAUCUCCAACAAGAGUCUUGCAGCGGCCUCCUGGAGGGUCCCUUCCAUCCACAGUGAUUGGGGCACAGGCUGGCUCAACCAUAAAGGCAAACAGGAAACUCUGCCAGCAAAGGAAAAAGGAAGCUCUCAGAUUCCUGUUCCAAGCAGCCUUCUGGGAAGGACUUUAUCUUGGGGGAAAGUUUUACUAAAGGAAAUUUGACCUGAAGUUGCAAGUUUCCUUUGUUGAGAAAAGCAAAUAACAUGAAAGGGGAGAAAAGCAACAAGAUGAAAGAUUGGUCAUCACAGAUGCAGAUCUAAUCUCUGCCAUAAUAUAAACUGGAAGAACCUAGAACCCUGGGAGGUGAGAGUGGCAGGCGGUGGGGGGGUGACAUGAGCAGAAACAACAGACAAGACGAGGCUGACCUCCCACAGGGGCAGCGAGGGCCCUGGCUGACCAGAGAACAGGACGAAAUAAGGCUUUCCAGGGCAGGUUAGAGUCCUUUAGUAUCAGGAUGCAGUGUUUAUAAUCUCAUGGGCCAUGGAGAAUUCUGUGCUCUAAGCAUCUGGGAAAUGAGAUAAUCAAAGCAUAUAAAUAAUACCAGUCAACUUUUUUAAAAAACGGUCAGUAUUUUUAAACACAUAUUAAAAUCUUCUUGAGCCCUUUGCACAUAUUAACUAAUUUAAACCUCACAACAACCCUAUGAAAUACAUAACCAAUAUUAUCACUUCCCUUUAUAGGAGCACAGAAAGGUUAAGCACCUUGUUCAAGGUCACACAGUUUGUAAGGCUCAAAAGCAGGAUUUGAACGCAGGCCAUCUGGUACUAACGUCACUCCUCUUAACCACCAUACCUGACUGCAAAGCAGUCUCUAAAAUUAACGAAGUGUGAUAUGGUUUGGAUGCUUUGUUUCCUCCAAAUCUCAUGCUGAAAUGUGACCUCCCAUGGUGGUGGAGGUGGGGCCCGGUGGUAAGGACAGACCUCCCAUGAAUGGCCUGGUGCCCUCCUCGUGGUAAUGAGUUCUUGCUCUGCGGUCACAGGCAAUCUGGUUGUUUCAAAGAGUGUGGCACCUUCCUAGCCCUCUCUCAUCAUAGGAGGUACUGGCUCCCUCUUCACCUUCCUCCAUAAUCGAAAGCUUCCUGAGGCCUCACCAGCAGCAGAUCCCAGCACUAUGCUUCGCGUACGAACUGCAGAACUGUGAGCCAAAAUAAAACCUCUUUUCUUUAUAAAUCCCCCAAUCUCAGAUAUUCCUUUAUAGCAAUGCAAAAACAGACUAACUCAAGUGUAUCUUCUUCGCUCUGUUCUUUAAGAAGUUUGGCAACUCUUGGGAUGGUAAAAGAGGAUAGCAGAAAGAAAACUGGGUUGGAAUCCUAACUCUAUGAUUGAAGAAGGGGAGCUGGGACCUUGAACCUCAUAAGGGCAUGAGGAAUGCUGAGAGUCAGCCUCUUGGGGAAGUUCUCAAAACUUCAACUCAAUUUGUGUAGUAGUUGUGCACAAUUCAGUUUAAGGAUUCUGCCCAUCACGUGAAGGACCUCUUCAAGGAGAACUACAAAGCACUGCUCAACGAAAUAAAAGAGGAUACAAACAAAUGGAAGAACAUUCCCUGCUCCUGGGUAGGAAGAAUCAGUAUCGUGAAAAUGGCCAUACUGCCCAAGGUAAUUUAUAGAUUCAGUGCCAUCCCCAUCAAGCUACCAAUGACUUUCUUCACAGAACCAAAAAAGAGGCUGCAUUGCCAAGUCAAUCCUAAGCUGAAAGAACAAAGCUGGAGGCAUC